CUUUGAGUUAUCGACAAGAAAUUCAAAAGAAAACUUAAAGUUUCUAAGUUUAAUUUACUUCAAAAGAAAAAUGGCAAACUGUCCCUGUGGCUCAGCCUGCAACUGCACUCCCAACAACUGCUCAUGCAACCAUAAUGUUGCUUCCAUGAAAGAGAACUUCGAAGGUGAUUGUGGCUGCAACAAAUGCUCAUGCGGAGACAAUUGCAAGUGCAAUCCAUGCAACUGCUAAAUUUCAAAGCUUUCGAUAUGGAAAGCAUACUAAUUUACAUAUUAAUGUGCUUCUAAUGAUUUGAAUUAUGUAUCAAAUGGUUGUGUGUGUGUGUGUUGUUUGUCUGUAUGGUGUUUGACAAAAUGCCGCUUACAAAUACUUGAGAAAUAAAAUACCACACAACAACCUAUUAUUAUAUAAUACUUGUAUCUUGUUUUUUCCCUCUUCCAAUGUCAUUUCAAAUAGGCCAGUUAUGACUGGUUAAUUUCUAUUA